rnacentral:sRNA from 1 species
AGUUCUACACUUCCGGCGUAGAAGACGAUCGUUUGAACUGAUCAGUUUAGGAUUCUGAACUGCUCUUAGAACGUGCUGUAGAACGUAAGGCUUCUGUUAAAAGGAGAACCCUAGUCUGUAUCUGUGAACGUUCGACUAUCUUAAGAGGAAGCUUAAAAGUUAAAGUAAAACAUGUAGCAUUGGAGAUUGGCAUUUCACCAUAUACAUUAAAUGCAAAUACAAAUGAAGCUUAUAUGGCCCCUGAUGUCCGACAUAAAAUAGUCAAUUGGAUAAAAGACCAUGUAUAUUCUGGUGCAUUUCAUAAGGGUUUAAAGGUCUUCACACUUUCAAUAUGUAUAAUUAAAAUAUAAUGCUUUUUUAAACUUUUUUUUUUCUUUAUAUUGUUCUACUGUUUUGUUUUAUUACUCAACCCUUUUGCAUAUAUAGAAUCAACAUUUAGUGCUUUUUUAUACUUUUAUUUCUACCUCCAAUUUAAAGGUCUAAUGGAAGUAGAAAAGUGGGUGAUAAGAGACUGGUUUGAGCUAUUGACAUGGCUGCAUUUGAGCUUGAUCUACUAGAAGAAUAUGAUUCACGCUUUAAGAAGUUGAGUCUAGGUGAUAAAUUGCCUAUCAAAUUCUCCAAGUGAUUAAUUGUUAGAAAGAUAAGUUGUUGAAU